rnacentral:rRNA from 1 species
CCUACGGGCGGCAGCAGUGAGGAAUAUUGGUCAAUGUACGAGAGUCUGAACCAGCCAAGUAGCGUGAAGGAUGACUGCCCUAUGGGUUGUAAACUUCUUUUAUAAAGGAAUAAAACGAGGCACGUGUGCCUUUUUGCAUGUACUUUAUGAAUAAGGAUCGGCUAACUCCGUGCCAGCAGCCGCGGUACUACGGAGGAUCCGAGCGUUAUCCGGAUUUCUUGGGUUUAAAGGGAGCGUAGAUGGGUUGUUAAGUCAGUUGUGAAAGUUUGCGGCUCAACCGUAAAAUUGCAAUUGAUACUGGCAGUCUUGAGUACAGUUGAGGUAGGCGGAAUUCGUGGUGUAGCGGUGAAAUGCUUAGAUAUCACGAAGAACCCCGAUUGCGAAGGCAGCUUACUAAACUGUGACUGACAUUGAUGCUCGAAAGUGUGGGUAUCAAACAGGAUUAGAUACCCUAGUAGUC